CGGCUGGGGACAAGGCGGGGAUGGUAGGGCGAGAGCCCGGCGUGGCGGUGGUUUAAAGUUACAGACUGCCUCGGAAUCACAGAAUCAAUUUGGUUGGAAAAGACGAGAUCACUGAGUUGAACUUAAGACUGAACACGAUGUAAACUAGACCAUGGCUCCAAGUGCCAUGCUCAGCCUUUCCUUAAACACGUUCAGGGAUGGUGACUCCACCACCUCCCCCGGCAGUCCUUUCCAAUGUCUAAUCACCAUUUCUGUGAAACAACAACGACAAGUUCUGGUGCAGUUUAAGACUUAAGUCCUCUCAUCCUGUCCCUGGUUGUCUGGGAGAAGAGACCAACCCUCAACGGGCUACAACAUCCCUUCAUGUAGAAAGUCUUACAAAGCAUGCAUAAUUAACACUUUUAUUACAAAUGGUAUGGAAAACA